rnacentral:rRNA from 1 species
AGAGUUUGAUCAUGGCUCAGGACGAACGCUGGCGGCGUGCUUAACACAUGCAAGUGGAGCGACGAACCGGGGCUUGCCCCGGGGCAGAGCCGCGAACGGGUGAGUAACACGUGGGUAACCCACCCCGAUGACCGGGACAACCCGAGGAAACUCGGGCUAAUACCGGAUGUGCUCCUUGGCCUCGAGGCCAAGGCGUAAAGAUAGCUUCGGCCUUCGCAUCGGGACGGGCCCGCGGCCCAUUAGCUUGUUGGUGGGGUAACGGCCUACCAAGGCGACGAUGGGUAGCUGGUCUGAGAGGACGAUCAGCCACACUGGGACUGAGACACGGCCCAGACUCCUACGGGAGGCAGCAGUGGGGAAUCUUGCACAAUGCGCGAAAGCGUGAUGCAGCAACGCCGCGUGGGGGAAGACGGCCUUCGGGUUGUAAACCCCUUUCAGUUGGGACGAAGCUUCGCCGGUGAACAGCCGGCUGGAGUGACGGUACCUUCACAAGAAGCCCCGGCUAACUACGUGCCAGCAGCCGCGGUAAUACGUAGGGGGCUAGCGUUGUCCGGAAUCAUUGGGCGUAAAGCGCGUGUAGGCGGUUCGGUAAGUCCGCUGUGAAAGUCGGGGGCUCAACCCUCGGAUGCCGGUGGAUACUGUCGGACUAGAGUACGGAAGAGGCGAGUGGAAUUCCUGGUGUAGCGGUGAAAUGCGCAGAUAUCAGGAGGAACACCAAUUGCGAAGGCAGCUCGCUGGGACGUUACUGACGCUGAGACGCGAAAGCGUGGGGAGCAAACGGAUUAGAUACCCUAGUAGUCC